CCUACGGGGUGCAGCAGUGGGGAAUAUUGGACAAUGGGCGAAAGCCUGAUCCAGCCAUGCCGCGUGUGUGAAGAAGGCCUUCGGGUGGUAAAGCACUUUCAGUGGGGAAGAAAGCCUUGGGGCUAAUACCCUCGAGGAAGGACAUCACCCACAGAAGAAGCACCGGCUAACUCCGUGCCAGCAGCCGCGGUAAUACGGAGGGUGCGAGCGUUAAUCGGAAUUACUGGGCGUAAAGCGCGCGUAGGCGGUCUGAUAAGCCGGUUGUGAAAGCCCCGGGCUCAACCUGGGAACGGCAUCCGGAACUGUCAGGCUAGAGUGCAGGAGAGGAAGGUAGAAUUCCCGGUGUAGCGGUGAAAUGCGUAGAGAUCGGGAGGAAUACCAGUGGCGAAGGCGGCCUUCUGGACUGACACUGACGCUGAGGUGCGAAAGCGUGGGUAGCAAACAGGAUUAGAUACCCCGGUAGUC
rnacentral:rRNA from 1 species